CGUUCCCGGGCCUUGUACACACCGCCGUCACACCACGAAAGCAAGCAACACCGAAGCCGGUGGCCUAACCUUUUGGAGGGAGCCGUCGAAGGUGGGGCCUGUGAUUGGGGUG
rnacentral:rRNA from 1 species